rnacentral:rRNA from 1 species
UAAUGCGCUAGUGAAUCUGCCUGGCAGUGAGGGGACAACCCUUCGAAAGGAACGCUAAUACCGCAUACGUCCUACGGGUACAAAGCAGGGGACCUUCGGGCCUUGCUGCUAUNUAUGAGCCUAUGUCGGAUAAUCUAUUUGGCUGGGGUAAUGGCUCACCAUCGCGACGAUCCGUAGCUGGUCUGAGAGGAUGAUCGCCCACACGGGAACUGAGACUCGGCCCAGACUCCUACUGGAGGCAGCAUGGGGCGAAUAUUGGACAAUGGGCGAAACCCUGAUCCAGCCUUGCCGCGUGUGUGAAGAAGGUCUUCCGAUUGUAAAGUACUUUAAGCUUGGAGGAAGGGCAGUUAACUAAUACCUUGCUGUUUUGACGUUACCGACCCAAUAAGCACCGGCUAACUCUGGGCCAGCUCCCUCCGUAAUACAGACGGUGCAAGCGCUAAUCGGAAUUACUGGGCGUAAAGCUCGCCUACGUGGUUCGUUGGCCCGAUGUGAAAGUCCCGGGCUCAACCUGGGAACUGCAUCCCCAACUGGCGAGCUUUAAUGCGGUAGAUGGUGGUGGAAUUUCCUGUGGAUCCNUGAAAUGCGUAGAUAUAGGAAGGAACACCGACGGCCAAGGCGACCACCUGGACUGAUUCUGACACUGAUGUGCCAAAGCGUGCGGAACCAACCCGAUUGGAUACCCUGGUAACUCACGCCCUNUACGAUGUCUACUAAUCUCNCCAAUCCUCGAGAUNUUACUGGCGCAUCUANCGCAUUAUAUCUACCCNCUGNGGAGAUACAGUCCCAGGUUAAACUCNGAUGAUUGANGGGGUCGCCAACCNUGCACAUGUGUNUAUUCAAUCCACNANACUUACCNGCCUGANUGCGAUACUUCNANANAUGGANNGUGCUNUCGGACUCU